ACAUAAACCCAUACCAUGAGUAAUUAUUAGUAAAGAUUAUAACGUAGAUAUAGCCACUCCUGGCUUGUACAUCGAAUGGACCGCACACGUUACUAUGCAUCAGGCUAAUAUAUCAGUGGUUCUUUCCUCUUGUCUUACAAAAGGUAGCUUAGUUAUCUUAUCUUGAAGACAGGACUCACAAAUUGGAUAAGACUCGAAAGUCAAUGGCCCAAUAAGAUUAUCUUUCUCCAAUUUGUUAAGUCUGUCUUCUCCAAUAUGACCUAGCCUA
rnacentral:lncRNA from 1 species